rnacentral:lncRNA from 1 species
GCCAGAUGUUAAAGGGCCAGCAAGGGACAGGCAGUGAACACCUUGACUACCUUGCCAGUCGUGCUUACCCCGUGCCACAUCCCUCCCCUGAGGCACCUUGGCCCCAUCUCACCUUAGGCUUGGCUGCCUCUGGAGCAGGAGGAGCCGUUGGUAGGACCUGCCAAGGAGGGAAUGAUGACGGCUCUCCCCGACACAAUGUCUUUACCUCUGCGUGUCCAGUGAGAGGCUGUGGGACCACAGACACUUGUUCACAAGUGAGGGCAACAGACAGAUGGACUUUUAACAAAGGGAUGCUGGAUGAGAAUCAUCAGUGGAAUCACAACCAAAUUGUCGACUUACCCAGCAUCUCCAAACAGCGAAGAAAAGGACCAAUGGUGCAGUUAAUAUAUGCAGCUGUGGAAGGACAGUGGCACCUGAAGCUGGCAAUCAGCCAGUAG